GACAGAGGAUGCAAGCGUUGUCCGGAAUCAUUGGGCGUAAAGCGCGUGUAGGCGGCCCGGUAAGUCCGCUGUGAAAGUCGGGGGCUCAACCCUCGAAUGCCGGUGGAUACUGUCGGGCUAGAGUGCGGGAGAGGCGAGUGGAAUUCCUGGUGUAGCGGUGAAAUGCGCAGAUAUCAGGAGGAACACCAAUUGCGAAGGCAGCUCGCUGGAACGUAACUGACGCUGAGACGCGAAAGCGUGGGGAGCAAACAGG
rnacentral:rRNA from 1 species